rnacentral:rRNA from 1 species
AGUGAACGCUGGCGGUAGGCCUAACACAUGCAAGUCGAACGGCAGCACAGUAAGAGCUUGCUCUUACGGGUGGCGAGUGUCGGACGGGUGAGGAAUACAUCGGAAUCUACUUUUUCGUGGGGGAUAACGUAGGGAAACUUACGCUAAUACCGCAUACGACCUACGGGUGAAAGCAGGGGAUCUUCUGACCUUGCGCGAUUGAAUGAGCCUAUGUCGGAUUAGCUAGUUGGCGGGGUAAAGGCCCACCAAGGCGACGAUCCGUAGCUGGUCUGAGAGGAUGAUCAGCCACACUGGAACUGAGACACGGUCCAGACUCCUAGGGGAGGAAGCAGUGGGGAAUAUUGGACAAUGGGGGAAAGCCUGAUCCAGCAAUACCGCGUGGGUGAAGAAGGACUUCGGGUUGUAAAGCCCUUUUGUUGGGAAAGAAAAGCAGCAGGUUAAUACCCCGCUGUUCUGACGGUACCCAAAGAAUAAGCACCGGCUAACUUCGUG